GACGAACGCUGGCGGCGUGCUUAACACAUGCAAGUCGAACGGGAUCCAACCAGUGGCAACACUGGGGAAGAUCUAGUGGCGAACGGGUGAGUAACACGUGAGAAACCUACCCCGAACUCAGGGAUAACAGUGGGAAACCACUGCUAAUACCUGAUACCUCCAUCGAGCUUCCUGGCUCGAUGAAGAAAGGGUUUACCGGUUCGGGACGGUCUCGCGGCCUAUCAGCUUGUUGGUGGGGUAACGGCCCACCAAGGCGUCGACGGGUAGCUGGUCUGGGAGGAUGAGCAGCCACACUGGGACUGAGACACGGCCCAGACUCCUACGGGAGGCAGCAGUGGGGAAUCUUGCGCAAUGGGCGAAAGCCUGACGCAGCAACGCCGCGUGGGGGAUGAAGGCCCUCGGGUUGUAAACCCCUUUCAGCAGGAACGAAACUGACGGUACCUGCAGAAGAAGGCCCGGCCAACUACGUGCCAGCCGCCGCUGUAACAC
rnacentral:rRNA from 1 species